CCUACGGGAGGCAGCAGUGAGGAAUAUUGGUCAAUGGGCGGAAGCCUGAACCAGCCAAGUCGCGUGAGGGAUUAAGGCUCUGCGGGUCGUAAACCUCUUUUGCCGGGGAGCAGAGGUCCGGACGUGUCCGGGCCGGGAGAGUACCCGGAGAAAAAGCAUCGGCUAACUCCGUGCCAGCAGCCGCGGUAAUACGGAGGAUGCGAGCGUUAUCCGGAUUUAUUGGGGGAAAGGGGUGCGUAGAUGGCAUAGUAAGUCUGUGGUAAAAAUGCGGGGCUCAACCCAGUAGGGCAAAAGAUACUGCAAAGCUAGAGUAUGACAGAGGCAAGUGGAACUACAUGUGUAGCGGUAAAAUGCGUAAAUAUAUGUAAGAACACCAGUGGCGAAGGCGGCUUGCUGGGUCGAUACUGACACUGAGGCACGAAAGCGUGGGGAGCAAACAGGAUUAGAUACCCUUGUAGUC
rnacentral:rRNA from 1 species